GCCUGGGUCAGAUGGCAACUUUGUUUGCCUCACAUAGAGCUGCACCGGGUUCAAAUCCUCAUGGAAAAAUAUAGAACCAUGCUAAUUGUGUGUACCCAUGUAAUGUGUGUGAGUGUGUAGUACAUGGGUGUAAUGUCUAGGAUUGGGGACUGUCCAAUCCACUUGACCAGAAAAAAAAAAAAACAUAGAGAAUGCUAUACACUUGAAAUUUGUAACACCCUAAAAAAAAGUUUAAUUACUGUGUUGUUCUUUAUAGUUUCG
rnacentral:lncRNA from 1 species